rnacentral:lncRNA from 1 species
UCUGCGUCCCGUGCGGCGGGGCACCUGCGUGAGUGAGUGAGCGCCUGCCCGCCCGCCUGGGCCUGUGGUCACGAGGGAGGAGAAUAGCAAUGUCCACCUGCUCCACACCACGCUAUUGACACCACAACCCCUCCACCACUCAUCCACACAUUCAUCCAUCCAUUCAAAUAUUCAUAUAUCUAUCCAUCCAUCCCACAGCGCCACACCCCCUCCACCUCCAUUCCCUAUUAACAUUCAAAUCUGUAUCUUUUUACCUUUAUAUCUCUCCAUUGUAGCCUUCAAGUGUGCACUCCUUGGAUGCGUAUUCACACAUCUCCCUUGAGCAAACUGUCUGCUUCAUUGUAAUCAAAACUGGGUGACCAUACUUAUUUUCAUACACAAAUAUUAUUUUAUUAAUUCUAAACCCCACAGUUUUCCUCUUUUGUCUGUACAUGAUUAUAAAAGACAUUUUACAUGAUAAAACGUCUAUGUGUGUAUAUAUAUAUAUAUAUAUAU